UCCUGGGGGCUCCAAAGUGCUGUUCGUGCAGGUAGUGUGAUUACCCGACCUACUGCUGAGCUAGCACUUCCCGAGCCCCGGGGA
rnacentral:pre_miRNA from 10 species